UGAGGAAUAUUGGUCAAUGGGGGCAACCCUGAACCAGCCAAGUCGCGUGAAGGAUGAAGGUCUUAUGGAUUGUAAACUUCUUUUAUACAGGAAUAAAUUGGGGGACGUGUCCCCUUUUGCAUGUACUGUAUGAAUAAGGAUCGGCUAACUCCGUGCCAGCAGCCGCGGUAAUACGGAGGAUCCGAGCGUUAUCCGGAUUUAUUGGGUUUAAAGGGUGCGCAGGCGGGAUGUUAAGUCGGCGGUGAAAUUUUGCAGCUCAACUGUAAAAGUGCCUUCGAUACUGGCCUCCUUGAGUGUGGAUGAAGUAGGCGGAAUUUGUGGUGUAGCGGUGAAAUGCUUAGAUAUCACGAGGAACUCCGAUUGCGCAGGCAGCUUACUAAGCCACAACUGACGCUCAUGCACGAAGGCGUGGGGA
rnacentral:rRNA from 1 species